UACGAGGGGGGCAAGCGUUGUUCGGAUUCAUUGGGCGUAAAGAGCGUGUAGGCGGCUUUGCAAGUCCGUUGUGAAAACUCGAGGCUCAACCUCGAGACGCCGGUGGAAACUGCAAAGCUAGAGUCCGGAAGAGGAGAGUGGAAUUCCUGGUGUAGCGGUGAAAUGCGCAGAUAUCAGGAAGAACACCCGUGGCGAAGGCGGCUCUCUGGGACGGUACUGACGCUGAGACGCGAAAGCGUGGGGAGCGAACAGG
rnacentral:rRNA from 1 species